AUUGAACGCUGGCGGCAUGCUUUACACAUGCAAGUCGAACGGUAACAGGCCACAAGGUGCUGACGAGUGGCGAACGGGUGAGUAAUGCAUCGGAACGUGCCCAGUCGUGGGGGAUAACGCAGCGAAAGUUGCGCUAAUACCGCAUACGAUCUAUGGAUGAAAGCGGGGGACCGUAAGGCCUCGCGCGAUUGGAGCGGCCGAUGUCAGAUUAGGUAGUUGGUGGGGUAAAGGCUCACCAAGCCGACGAUCUGUAGCUGGUCUGAGAGGACGACCAGCCACACUGGGACUGAGACACGGCCCAGACUCCUACGGGAGGCAGCAGUGGGGAAUUUUGGACAAUGGGCGCAAGCCUGAUCCAGCAAUGCCGCGUGCAGGAAGAAGGCCUUCGGGUUGAAAACUGCUUUUGUACGGAACGAAACGGUCCUGGUUAAUACCCGGGGCUAAUGACGGUACCGUAAGAAUAAGCACCGGCUAACUACGUGCCAGCAGCCGCAGUAA
rnacentral:rRNA from 1 species